CAUGUAGGCGGAUUAAUAAGUUUGAAGUGAAAUUCUAUAGCUUAACUAUAGAACUGCUUUGAAAACUGUUAAUCUAGAAUGUGGGGGAGGUAGAUGGAAUUUCUGGUGUAGGGGUAAAAUCCGUAGAGAUCAGAAGGAAUACCGAUUGCGAAGGCGAUCUACUGGAACAUUAUUGACGCUGAGAUGCGAAAGCGUGGGGAGCAAACA
rnacentral:rRNA from 1 species